rnacentral:rRNA from 1 species
GACGUAGGGCGCGAGCGUUGUCCGGAUUUAUUGGGCGUAAAGAGCUCGUAGGCGGCUUGUCGCGUCGACUGUGAAAACCCGCGGCUCAACUGCGGGCCUGCAGCCGAUACGGGCAGGCUAGAGUUCGGUAGGGGAGACUGGAAUUCCUGGUGUAGCGGUGAAAUGCGCAGAUAUCAGGAGGAACACCGGUGGCGAAGGCGGAUCUCUGGGCCUUACCUGACGCUCAGGCGCGAAAGCUAGGGGAGCGAACAGG